AUGCCAAAGAAUGUUCAAACUACUGCACUCAUCUCACAUGCUAGUAAAGUAAUGCUCAAAAUUCUCCAAGCCAGGCUUCAGCAAUACGUGAACCGUGAACUCCCUGAUGUUCAAGCUGGUUUUAGAAAAGGCAGAGGAACCAGAGAUCAAACUGCCAACAUCCGCUGGAUCAUGGAAAAAGCAAGAGUGUUCCAGAAAAACAUCUAUUUCUGCUUUAUUGACUAUGCCAAAGCCUUUGACUGUGUGGAUCACAAUAAACCGUGGAAAAUUCUGAAAGAGAUGGGAAUACAAGACCACCUAACCUGCCUCUUGAGAAAUCUGUAUGCAGGUCAGGAGGCAACAGUUAGAACUGGACAUGGAACAACAGACUGGUUCCAAAUAGGAAAAGGAGUACGUCAAGGCUGUAUAUUGUCACCCUGCUUAUUUAACUUAUAUGCAGAGUACAUCAUGAGAAAUGCUGGGCUGGAAGAAACACAAGAUGGAAUCAAGAUUGCCAGGAGAAAUAUUAAUAACCUCAGAUAUGCAGAUGACACCACCCUUAUGGCAGAAAGUGAAGAGGAGCUAAAAAGCCUCUUGAUGAAAGUGAAAGAGGAGAGUGAAAAAGUUGGCUUAAAGCUCAACAUUCAGAAAACGAAGAUCAUGGCAUCCGGUCCCAUCACUUCAUGGGAAAUAGAUGGGGAAACAGUGGAAACACUGUCAGACUUUAUUUUGGAGGGCUCCAAAAUCACUGCAGAUGGUAACUGCAGCCAUGAAAUUAAAAGAUGCUUACUCCUUGGAAGAAAAGUUAUGACCAACCUAGAUAGUAUAUUCAAAAGCAGAGACGUUACUUUGCCAACUAAGUUCUGUCUAGUCAAGGCUAUGGUUUUUCCAGUGGUCAUGUGUGGAUGUGAGAGUUGGACUGUGAAGAAGGCCGAGGGCCGAAGAAUUGAUGUUUUUGAACUGUUGUGUUGGAGAAGACUCUUGAGGGUCCCUUGGAGUGCAAGGAGAUCCAACCAGUCCAUUCUGAAGGAGAUCAACCCUGGAAUUUCUUUGGAAGGAAUGAUGCUAAAGCUGAAGCUCCAGUACUUUGGAUACCUCAUGCGAAGAGCUGACUCACUGGAAAAGACUCUGAUGCUGGGAGAGAUUGGGGGCAGGAGGAGAAGGGGAUGA
rnacentral:lncRNA from 1 species